AUCUUUGCGCUUGGGGCAAUGACGCAGUUAGUGAGGUGAAACCGAGACGCGUCAAUUUCUGGUUGAAAACUAAUUCCUAUUUACAAGAUCAAUUCAACAUAUUGCGCACUUCAAUAGUGUUUGAUUGAGAUUUUCAAAAAUAUAAAUCAUG
rnacentral:snRNA from 1 species